GUUCAGGGAUUCAGGAAGGUUGAUCCAAACUGGUGGGAGUUUGCAAAUGAGUGGUUCCUAAGGAGCAGACACAUUUAUUGAAAAAUUUUGUGAGGAGAAAAUGCAACAAUAACUUUCCCUCUCAGAGUUCAUGUUCUGGAUUUCUGUUUCAGGGUUGGACCUAAUUUUCAAGUUUGCAACUUUAUAAUCCCAAAAGCCAGAAGAGAUUUAGGGCUUGACAUAGUCUAAAAUCCAUGGGAGAAGAUCAUGUGUACACAAAAGAUCGGAGGGUUGAAUCCAUUCCAGAUGAGCUCCUUGCAUUCUCUGGCUCACACCCACUUAACAGUAAUUGGCUCAGUUUUAAUAGUGAGGUUUCUUCCCUUUUCCUUUCCCUCACAAGCUGGAAUAUGGGCUUUUGAACAUCAAGCCUGAACUGAUUGUAUUUGUUUAUGCAGAUUCUGUAUGCAAGCAGGUCUGCCAUUACCCUGAUCCUGUAACAAGGUUUAACAUUGCACCAGACUUGAUGAAUCAAGCAAAAGAUUAUUUGAACAAAACUAUAUAUGUUGGCUAGAGUGAGUGUUUUAGAAUGCGCAAAAAAAAAAAAAAAAAAAAGUAUCUUCUAAUGUUCUAAUUAUGUUUAUUCGACCCAAAAGUUGUGGUUGCACAGUUGUGUGCAGUCCUGCCUUACUUUGAAUGCCAAUUUAGGAUGGCCUGCCUUUGGAAUGUUGAUUUAUGUGAUUCUGUAUUUGUCCUAUCUCUAUUUCUUUGUUAGUACAUUUUGAAUGAGAACCUCUCUUAUCUGCCGCAAAGAAGGUAAUGUGUGUUGAGCAUUAAGUUGCGAUAAUAGUUACUAGGAAUUUCUAAUUUGGAGUAAAUUGAAUGAAUUCUUCAAAAGUGAGAUUAUUUUGACAACAAAUAUUGGCCCAAAAAUGUUAAUGUUAAAUUAGAAGUGUUGCAUCAAGCAAACAAACCCGCGGCAUCGCGCGGGCUAUAUCGCUAG